rnacentral:lncRNA from 1 species
AUUUCCCAAAUUGCACACUUUAACAGGCAAAUGUCUCAGAGUCCACGUGGAAGGUCAGUGUUUGGGGAAAGACUGUAAUUAUAAUGAGGUCACAGAGUCCCAGAUUAGAGUCAGAAGGGCCAGCAAAGUCCGUUCCUCGAGGCCUGUAGGGACAGGCCAGUUGAUGAUGGGCCUGGGAGCAGGGGGCGGGUCUCUGGGCUCUGGUCGCAGGCUCUCUGGAGUCUGGGUACCAAACCUGCCGAGGCAGGAUCCGAAGACUUAGCAGAGUCCUCGGAUCCCAGGACUCAGCAAGUCAGCCUAGGAUGGAGACGUGUCUGCCUGCGUUUCAGAGGCCUGACCCGCUGCCAGCACCCUUUCGACUCCGGGAUCUGUUAUCACCUCGCUGUGGCCAAUCCCUUUGUAUUUCCUAUGAAGUGGAGCCAGAAGCCAUCAGCCCUGGAGGGACACGAGCACCUCUUCCCCCCCAACCUGCAGGACGUUUCAUCCAAGGCACAGUCAUCGCUCGUCCGACCGGUUAACGGCCCCCUGCUCCCCCAGCUGCUGGGCUACAGUCUGUUCUCCACACGGCGGCCUGGUGACCACAGCCUGGAGCGAAAUCCUCCUCUGCCUGAAACCUUCGGGCGGGCCCCAGAGGCCAACAGGUCAGCGCUGUCCGACGGAAAUGUCUGUGGUCGUGGAAGUGAUCCAGGCGUGUUUUUGGCCUCGCCACGUGGGGUCUUCGUCCCCCGACAGGUGGCGGAACCAGAGCCCCUGGCAAUGCAAGCAUGCGGUCUUAACCCCUGGGCCGCCGGGGAGACCCCGUGGACGUGAUCCCACUGUUAACACAGGAGACACCAUCAGUGCUACGUGUGGGAGAGGGCGGGUGCGUGCUCUCCCUGCUCUGGUCCUGAGUACACAGCCACACACUGUCCAGCGUGGACGCAGCGGUUCUCCAAAUGCUAUGCUCCAACACUUCGGCCACGUGAUGCCAAGAGCUGACUCAUUGGAAGAGACCCUGAUGCUGGGAAAGAUUGAAGGCGGGAAGAGAAGGGGACGACGGACGAUGAGAUGGCUGGAUGGCAUCACUGAAUCCACGGACAUGAGUUUCAGCAAGCUCUGGGAGUUGGUGAUGGACAGGGAGGCCUGGUGCGCUGGAGUCCAUGGGGUCGCAAGGAGUCGGACACAACUGAGUGACUGA